rnacentral:rRNA from 1 species
ACAGCAUACCACCCUGAACGCGCCCGAUCUCAUCUGAUCUCAGAAGCUAAGCAGGGACAGGCCUGGUUAUUACUUGGAUGGGAGACAGAGAGGGAAGCAAUUUGUC